rnacentral:rRNA from 1 species
UACGGGGGGAGCAAGCGUUGUUCGGAUUUACUGGGCGUAAAGGGCGCGUAGGCGGUCAGCACAAGUCAGUUGUGAAAUCUCCGGGCUUAACUCGGAAAGGUCAACUGAUACUGUGCGACUAGAGUGCGGAAGGGGCAACUGGAAUUCUCGGUGUAGCGGUGAAAUGCGCAGAUAUCAGGAGGAACACCGGUGGCGAAGGCGGGUCUCUGGGCCGAUACUGACGCUGAGGAGCGAAAGCGUGGGGAGCAAACAGG